CGGGAGUCCCCUGGAAACGAGCGAUCGGUCGAUAUUAAGGGACAAGAAGAAUCGGCGGCGGGCAUAAAGCUUCUCAAAGCCGGACGUACCAACGAAUUUGAGAAGAAGGAACUCUCCCCAGUCGCCGCGUGGAGCUAAACCGUCGUAACAAAAGCUCGAAGCGGUCAGUUACUGGAGCAGCUCGGAAUCCACGAGAACCGAAAAAAGACCCCUCUGGGGUUUUGUUGUUGAGCCAACUCGAUCGAAAUCCGGUUGACUCACGGACGGUGGUCAUUGUGGACCGACAACACAGUUGCGGAAUUCGCUUGGACACACAUCCGCUCCUCGAUUGCCGGAAAGUACCCAUCUACCUGAUCUCCAGACGCGAGCAAAGACAACGGGUGCACGACGCGUGGCCGAUCCGAGAUAUCCCGAAGCACCGUUGGAGAAUCCACUCACAUCAGGAAUCGAAGGUGGAGUGUUGGAGUGAGGGACAACGUUGGAGUUUCGGCAUCGAGACAUCGCGCAGGUGCGAUUGACGCAGAUUGGUUGCUGAUUAUGGGAUCGUGCGGGGAUGCUCACGACGCCAGAGCUGGGGGACGCCCCGUGUAGCUGGUACCGUGAGUAGGAAAUAUGAUUAGCAUGUAAGGACUUGAUUUUGAUAGGAAGAAGAGAGAAAGUAGGAAUGGAAGGAUGAUUAGGCUCCGUUAGGAGAAGAUGGAUCGAAGGAAUAAAGAUUCCAUGUAUGGUUAAAUUGA